AAGCGGGAGUAUAAUGUGCGGGCUAAUCAAAAAAACAGAGCCUGCCGACAUCCGCCAGGCUCCAGAGUACACACAGCAGUGCAUCCUUACUUAUUCCCACAAUGGUCGUCCCUGAGGGGGUUAAUUAAGUUAUAGCAGCUAAUUUAUAUAAUUCCAACAAAAUGAACAGUUGUUUUAA
rnacentral:misc_RNA from 1 species